UACAGAGGGGGCAAGCGUUGUUCGGAAUUACUGGGCGUAAAGGGCGCGUAGGCGGCCCGCUAAGUCGAACGUGAAAUCCCCGAGCUCAACUCGGGAACUGCGUCCGAUACUGGCGGGCUUGAAUCCGGGAGAGGGAUGCGGAAUUCCAGGUGUAGCGGUGAAAUGCGCAGAUAUCAGGAGGAACACCUAUUGCGAAGGCAGCUCGCUGGGACGUAACUGACGCUGAGACGCGAAAGCGUGGGGAGCAAACAGG
rnacentral:rRNA from 1 species